rnacentral:tRNA from 1 species
GCCUGGCUGGCUCAGGUCGGUAGAGUGUGCAACUCUUGAUCUCAAGGUCGUGAGUUUGAGCCCCACGCUGGGCA